AACCGGGAUUCCCUAGUACGGCGAGUGAAGCGGCAAAAGCUUCCAAAUUUUGAAAUUCCGGCCUUCCAGGGUCGAAGUUUGUAAUUUUGUAGAUUUGUAUUUUGAGAAGCGGAUUAAAGUCUGUUGGAACACAGCGCCUUAGAGGGUGACAGCCCCGUAAAAUCUAUUCUCAUUGUAAGAUACUUUCGAAGAGUCGAGUUGUUUGGGAAUGCAGCUCUAAGUGGGAGGUAAAUUCCUUCUAAAGCUAAAUAUUGACGAGAGACCGAUAGCGAACAAGUACUGUGAAGGAAAGAUGAAAAGCACUUUGAAAAGAGAGUGAAAAAGUACGUGAAAUUGUUAAAAGGGAAGGGUAUUGAAUCAGACUUGGUGCUGUUGUUCAACUGUGUUUUGGCAUAGUGUACUCAGCAGUACUAGGCCAAGGUGGGGUGUUUGGGAGUGAAAAAGAAGUAGGAAGGUAGCUCUUCGGAGUGUUAUAGACUACUUUCAUAGCUCCUUAGGCGCCUCAGGACUGCGCUUCGGCAAGGACCUUGGCAUAAUGAUUCUAUACCGCCCGUCUGAAAACACGAGACACACACAGUAAA
rnacentral:rRNA from 1 species